UACAGAGGUCCCAAGCGUUGUUCGGAUUCACUGGGCGUAAAGGGUGCGUAGGCGGUCGGGUAAGUCUGAUGUGAAAUCUCCAAGCUCAACUUGGAAAUGGCAUCGGAUACUAUUCGGCUUGAGGAGUGGAGGGGAGACUGGAAUUCUCGGUGUAGCAGUGAAAUGCGUAGAUAUCGAGAGGAACACCAGUGGCGAAGGCGAGUCUCUGGACACUUCCUGACGCUGAGGCACGAAAGCCAGGGGAGCAAACGGG
rnacentral:rRNA from 1 species